UACGUGAGGGGCAAGCGUUGUCCGGAUUUAUUGGGCGUAAAGAGCGUGUAGGCGGCUUUGCAAGUCCGUUGUGAAACUCGGAGCUACAACCUCGAGACGCCGGUCGGAAACUGCAAGCUAGAGUCCGGAAGAGGAGAGUGGAAUUCCUGGUGUAGCGGUGAAAUGCGACAGAUAUCAGGAAGAACACCCGUGGCGAAGGCGGCUCUCUGGGACGGUACUGACGCUGAGACGCGAAAGCGUGGGGAGCGAACAGG
rnacentral:rRNA from 1 species